GACGGACGCUGGCGGCGUGCUUAACACAUGCAAGUCGAACGGGCCUUGUCCCCUUUUUUUUUGGGGGUGGGGUUAGUGGCGAACGGGUGAGUAACACGUGAGUAACCUGCCCCUCACUUCUGGAUAACCGCUUGAAAGGGUGGCUAAUACGGGGUGUUCUGGCCUGCUCGCAUGGGUGGGUUUGGAAAGAUUCGACCGGUUUUGGUUGUUUUGGUGGGGGAUGGGCUCGCGGCCUAUCAGCUUGUUGGUGGGGUGAUGGCCUGCCAAGGCUUUGACGGGUAGCCGGCCUGAGAGGGUGGGCGGUCACACUGGGACUGAGACACGGCCCAGACUCCUACGGGAGGCAGCAGUGGGGAAUAUUGCACAAUGGGCGCAAGCCUGAUGCAGCGACGCCGCGUGAGGGAUGGAGGCCUUCGGGUUGUGAACCUCUUUCGCCAGUGAAGAAGGUCCUGCUCUUUGUGGUGGGGUUGACGGUAGCUGGGUUAAUGAAGCGCCGGCUAACUACGUG
rnacentral:rRNA from 1 species